AGAAAACACACUUGUCUGCUGGCAAUUCUAUUUCAAAGCCUCUCAACAACUCUGAUCCUUUUGCGGCAUUCUGUCCUUAUCUGAAAGUUGGCAAAUUCCAAUUGAGACUUCUAAAAGCAUAUGACAGUUCACAGAGAAACAAAAGGGGCAAUCCCUUGUAAAAAUGUCUUUGAUGACCAGGAGGUUUCUCACAGGUUAAUGUACCUAAAGUGUUCUAGAGGUAAAUGCAAAUGGAGGAAUUCCUACAACUAAUGUAUACAGCUGGAAUUAUCAACUUUAAUCAAAGAGAAAAAGAAGGCUAACUUCCAUUUCCAAAGCUCAUCUGUAUGCAUGUAUCUCGUCAGCAACAGAUAUUUCUGCUCUGCAUUUAUUUCUAUGGUUCAUCAAGGGACUUUUCUGGACAUAAUGCUAUCUGACAUAUGUACGAAUCCUUCUUUGUUUUUUGGCUCAAAGCUUGCUUUCUGAGGCAUUUCUUGUGAUAAGACUCCGACUUAGAUGAGAGGUGGGUGUCCCUUAUGCUUCCUAUAGAGACUCCUUGCUUCUAUUUCCUUUCUUUUCUACUGCCCUAUUUCCCCAUCACUCCAAUCCACAGUAGUAUCUGUCCUUCCCUUCCCCAUCUCCCUUAUUAAGAUUUGUAAUAAACUGGUCAGACCAACAUUUGAACUGUUGUUUCU
ensembl:lncRNA